UGGGGAAUCUUGCGCAAUGGGCGAAAGCCUGACGCAGCGACGCCGCGUGCGGGAAGAAGGCCUUAGGGUUGUAAACCGCUUUCAGGAGGGACGAAGCCACUCGGGUUAAUAGCCCAGAGGGUGACGGUACCUCCAGAAGAAGCCCCGGCUAACUACGUGCCAGCAGCCGCGGUAAUACGUAGGGGGCGAGCGUUGUCCGGAUUCAUCGGGCGUAAAGCGCGUGUAGGCGGUCAGGUAGGUCCGAUGUGAAAACUGGAGGCUCAACCUCCAGCUGUCAUUGGAAACCAUCUGGCUAGAGUCCGGAAGAGGAGAGUGGAAUUCCUGGUGUAGCGGUGAAAUGCGCAGAUAUCAGGAAGAACACCUAUGGCGAAGGCAGCUCUCUGGGACGGUACUGACGCUGAGACGCGAAAGCGUGGGGAGCGGAACAGGAUUAGAUACCCUGGUAGUCCACGCCGUAAACGAUGGGCGCUAGGUGUGGGCGGUGUCGACUCCGUCCGUGCC
rnacentral:rRNA from 1 species